UACGGAGGGGGCUAGCGUUGUUCGGAAUUAUUGGGCGUAAAGAGCACGUAGGUGGUUAGGUAAGUCAGACGUGAAAUCCCCUGGCUCAACCAGGGAAGGGCGUUUGAAACUGCUUGACUUGAGUGCGGUAGAGGAGAGUGGAAUUUCCGGUGGAGCGGUGAAAUGCGUAGAUAUCGGGAAGAACACCGUUGGCGAAGGCGGCUCUCUGGACCGCAACUGACACUGAGGUGCGAAAGCUAGGGGAGCAAACGGG
rnacentral:rRNA from 1 species